rnacentral:rRNA from 1 species
UACGUAGGGUGCAAGCGUUAAUCGGAAUUACUGGGCGUAAAGCGUGCGCAGGCGGUUUUGUAAGUCUGUCGUGAAAGCCCCGGGCUCAACCUGGGAAUUGCGAUGGAGACUGCAAGGCUUGAAUCUGGCAGAGGGGGGGUAGAAUUCCACGUGUAGCAGUGAAAUGCGUAGAGAUGGUGGAGGAACACCGAUGGCGAAGGCAGCCCCCUGGGUCAAGAUUGACGCUCAUGCACGAAAGCGU